rnacentral:lncRNA from 1 species
UGAAACCUUUCUUUAACAACUUGACUGGGAAGGCUGUGAUUGUGAAACUCAAGUGGGGAAUGGAGUACAAAGGCUGUUGACUCAUACAUGAACUUGCAGUUGUCUAACUCUGAGGAGUACAUUGAUGGUCAGUUUACUGGAAACCUUGGAGAGAUUCUGAUCAGACAGAUGUAACAAUGUUCUCUAUUUACAAGGUGUACCAGAGGAUGCAGAUCGUGAUUAGCACUCGUGCAUUCAGAUCUAUCUGUUUUACAUUCAACGUCUUAUGUCUUUGUAUGUAGAUGUUAAGAUCUAAGAUGACACUUAAUUUAGAAAGCCUGAACUUAUGAUUGAUGCAAGUUUAAUUGGGUGAAUGUGCAUUUUUUCUGGACUUGUAUUAGUAUGAAUGGAUCAUCAGACAAUGUUGAAUGUUAGUUUCUUCUUUUUUCCCUCAUGAUUAAAAACUUAAAAUUUUGUUGU